AUGCACGCUGGCGGCGUGCCUAAUACAUGCAAGUCGAGCGAACAGACGAGGAGCUUGCUCCUCUGACGUUAGCGGCGGACGGGUGAGUAACACGUGGAUAACCUACCUAUAAGACUGGGAUAACUUCGGGAAACCGGAGCUAAUACCGGAUAAUAUAUUGAACCGCAUGGUUCAAUAGUGAAAGACGGUUUUGCUGUCACUUAUAGAUGGAUCCGCGCCGCAUUAGCUAGUUGGUAAGGUAACGGCUUACCAAGGCAACGAUGCGUAGCCGACCUGAGAGGGUGAUCGGCCACACUGGGACUGAGACACGGUCCAGACUCCUACGGGAGGCAGCAGUAGGGAAUCUUCCGCAGUGGGCGAAAGCCUGACGGAGCAACGCCGCGUGAGUGAUGAAGGUCUUCGGAUCGUAAAACUCUGUUAUUAGGGAAGAACAAAUGUGUAAGUAACUAUGCACGUCUUGACGGUACCUAAUCAGAAAGCCACGGCUAACUACGUG
rnacentral:rRNA from 1 species